rnacentral:rRNA from 1 species
GAUGAACGCUGGCGGCGUGCCUAAUACAUGCAAGUCGAGCGAAUGGAUUAAGAGCUUGCUCUUAUGAAGUUAGCGGCGGACGGGUGAGUAACACGUGGGUAACCUGCCCAUAAGACUGGGAUAACUCCGGGAAACCGGGGCUAAUACCGGAUAACAUUUUGAACCGCAUGGUUCGAAAUUGAAAGGCGGCUUCGGCUGUCACUUAUGGAUGGACCCGCGUCGCAUUAGCUAGUUGGUGAGGUAACGGCUCACCAAGGCAACGAUGCGUAGCCGACCUGAGAGGGUGAUCGGCCACACUGGGACUGAGACACGGCCCAGACUCCUACGGGAGGCAGCCGUAGGGAAUCUUCCGCAAUGGACGAAAGUCUGACGGAGCAACGCCGCGUGAGUGAUGAAGGCUUUCGGGUCGUAAAACUCUGUCGUUAGGGAAGAACAAGUGCUAGUUGAAUAAGCUGACACCUUGACGGUACCUAACCAGAAAGCCACGGCUAACUACGUGCCAGCCGCCGCGGUAA